CCUACGGGUGGCAGCCGUGAGGAAUAUUGGUCAAUGGGCGCGAGCCUGAACCAGCCAAGUAGCGUGAAGGAUGACUGCCCUACGGGUUGUAAACUUCUUUUAUAAAGGAAUAAAGUGAGGCACGUGUGCCUUUUUGUAUGUACUUUAUGAAUAAGGAUCGGCUAACUCCGUGCCAGCAGCCGCGGUAAUACGGAGGAUCCGAGCGUUAUCCGGAUUUAGUGGGGUUAAAGGGAGCGUAGAUGGGUUGUUAAGUCAGUUGUGAAAGUUUGCGGCUCAACCGUAAAAUUGCAAUUGAUACUGGCAGUCUUGAUUACAGUUGAGGUAGGCUGAAUUCGUGGUGUAGCGGUGUAAUGCUUAGAUCUCACGAAGAACUCCGAUUGCGAAGGCAGCUUACUAAACUGCCACUGACAUUGAUGCUCGAAAGUGUGGGUAUCAAACAGGAUUAGAUACCCGAGUAGUC
rnacentral:rRNA from 1 species